rnacentral:rRNA from 1 species
CCUACGGGCGGCUGCAGUGGGGAAUAUUGCACAAUGGGCGCAAGCCUGAUGCAGCCAUGCCGCGUGUGUGAAGAAGGCCUUCGGGUUGUAAAGCACUUUCAGCGGGGAGGAAGGCGUUAAGGUUAAUAACCUUGGCGAUUGACGUUACCCGCAGAAGAAGCACCGGCUAACUCCGUGCCAGCAGCCGCGGUAAUACGGAGGGUGCAAGCGUUAAUCGGAAUUACUGGGCGUAAAGCGCACGCAGGCGGUCUGUCAAGUCGGAUGUGAAAUCCCCGGGCUCAACCUGGGAACUGCAUUCGAAACUGGCAGGCUAGAGUCUUGUAGAGGGUGGUAGAAUUCCAGGUGUAGCGGUGAAAUGCGUAGAGAUCUGGAGGAAUACCGGUGGCGAAGGCAGCCCCCUGGACAAAGACUGACGCUCAGGUGCGAAAGCGUGGGGAGCAAACAGGAUUAGAUACCCCGGUAGUC